GUAGAAACCAUUUGUCACGCAGACUAGAGAGGUGUUUUCCGUGCAGCGGCUCUGAACGUGGGGCCGUACCCUUCUGGGCCACCCCGUUUGAGCCGAGCAGUGGUACCGGCGGGCGGGGGGGCCCGGGGCCGUGCUAUGGGAACGCGGGUGGCCGCGGCUGUAAGGGGCACUUCUCGGUUUGUAAAACUGCUGAGCUGGCAGUGACUUGUCUCGUGCUUUGUCCUGCGUAGGGAAUGGCUCGCGGAAACGCAGCGCGUGUGCACCGCGGAGCUCCUGGUGCGUGGCUGCUCCUGGCUACACCAGCUGCCCUGGCACCGGAGGGAACGGGCCCCUUCACCAACGUGUGUUGUGGGGUAAAGCCCUCAGAAUACUGUGGGUGCGUGGAAUGCGUGAGGCUUUGCCUAUUGCCAGCAGCACGUAGCCCUGUUAUGCUGUUAGUCUUUCUUUCCGUCUUCACGGAGGGAGCUGAGAACAUUCACGUCAUGCUGUUUUCUUCCUCCUUCCUCAGAGAAGGGUUUGCUCACGUGCUUUGUUUUGGCAAUUGGCAUUAUUUCCUUCGGUGUACGCAUUUAUGUAUGUUUAUGUAGAAGUAAGUGUCUACAAAUACAGUGUGCUCGUGCAGAGUUCAUGGUGGUGAGACUUGCUUAGCUCUGUGCCCUAACCUCGUCUCCUGCCCAGAUGAGCGCUGUGCUCCUGGCUGCGUCUUGAAUGUGAGGAACAGAGCUGUCAUCCAGAAAUGCUGUGCUGAGGUCAACAGGAAGGGGGCCCAAGACCUGAGGUUUUACUCAGCAGUCUCUGAGGACGCAAAGCAGAAAGCAGAAACAGAUGUCUGAUAGGGACUGAAUGUGGGAUGGAAAUGUGCAGUGGUCACUGAUGAAAAGUAUAUUUGCUCCCAGGUAGAAUACAGAGAUACUCAUACAUGCUUUUCAGAGAGAUGAGAAACAGCAAUUCUGGAGCAACUGUCAGCAGUUCUGUUAGCAACUGCCACUGUGCUAGUAACUACCAUUUAUUAUACUACUACUACACCUGCAUGACAUUUAUUAAAACAAUUAUUAAGACAGAGGCAUUAACUACAUUUAUACUUGCAUCCUCUAAGCAUCUUGCUUUAUAACACCCACCCUACCAAAAAUCAUUGUUCUGACUUGAGAUUCAUUGAGGAAGACAGUUCCUCCAUCAAGUGGUAAGGAAUGUUACAGUGCUGGCUCUGAGUGUAGAUGGAUCUAAUUCGGCUGUUUUUGAAAUGUAUGAUUCCCUAAAUACGUUUAACCUUCUGUCUGACAUGUUGCCCUUACUGCAAGGAAAAUUUAUCAUUUCCAUAUUUUUUUAUAAAUAGGAUGAAGAUGUUAAUAGUUGCUAAAUUUACAGCAUAAAAACCAACCAUUCUGUUUCUUUUACCAUCCCUCUUGAAUCAGCAGGCUCCUGGAGCCCUUUGUCCAUAGCUUCUAAAGAAAUAAGUCCAAAAUUUUAAUUUCACUUCCCACUGCAAGUGUUAUCUUAGUUGUUGAGUAAGACCCAGUCUCCCUGCAGGAAGCUGUUAUUAAUUCUAAUUUGAUGAAGCCUUCAUUUUCAACAGUAAUUAUAAUUAUCACCCAGUGUCUACUCACUCUCUUUCUUAGCAGGGGGGAAUAAUGGUACUGAUGGGAAUAAGAGCUCUCUUCCCUUCUCAUUGAGCAUAACUAUCCUUCUUUUUUCUUUGUUUAUAUCAAACUUUUCAAAGCAUCACAGCAUAGAAAUGCCAGUGGACAGCUACCAUCGUAAUUACCUGAUGUACAUUAUUUCUGCAAUCUAGACUGGUAAUACACACACUUCCGAAAAAAAUUCUAAAUGGAUUUGGAAUUGUGAGGCUGUUGGUAAUCAUACUCUGGUAAAGUCUGCAGCAGUGACUUGCAACAUGUGCAGAUAGUGCAGCAUGGAAGCAGAACAUGGAUCCAGCGUGAAUUCUGUCACAAGAUCUCAAGAUGUCAGUGUCUGUUUUGCUGCUGGGACAGAAGGAUGUCACAAGCAGGAAACUCAAAGUCCACUUGCAGAUUGAGGCAGACUCUCCAUGACUUUCUGUUGACAGAAGAAAGGACUGAACUCCUUGAUGGCACCUAAGAGAAGCUUGAAAGAAGGUGAUUAAGAAGAUCACAGCUAUAGGACACCUGUACUUCUGUGAGCUUUGUGUUUUUAGUAACAAUGGACCAUCCUGUGAUCUACAAAACAAAACUUUGAUGGAAGUCUAGAAGAGUCAGGUCUUCACCUGGCUUUGAUCAACUGACGUUUGAUAUGACAGAAGGACUUGUAUCACUCAUCUUAGAGUGACACCCUUUCAGGCAAUAACGCCAAUUCUCACUUUUGAUCCUCCUCAAUGUCCAGUUCCAAAAUCACUGACUUAGCUUGUGGAACUUGAAGAGUAACUCAGUCCUUGCCCUGACAAGAAAUAGUCACCUCAGCAAACCUCAAGAUUUCCCCAGUCUCUCUAGGGAAAGCUGCCAACACUCCUGAAUUGGCUGAAUGUUCUCUGCCUUCUUCAGCACUGCAAUAAAAAGCACAGAGCAGGAGGGUCAGAACCAUUCCUAAACCCAGCCAAAUAUUGUGAAGAAGGCUGAUCAGGUCAUCUUAAUGAACACAGGUCUUUCCUGAGUGUCACUGAGGUGCUUCUAGAAAAAAAUUAAAAAAAAAAAGCACAGAGAAUUUUUACAUGUAGAAAUGGCUAAUAUGGAUUGAAUAGAGAUAGGGAUAAAGAUCACUUUCAUGUUUGCUUGACAUGUUUUUCCUCAUCUAAGUAAAAUACACUCUAAA